GUAAAGUGUGUGAGUGUGUGCAGACGCUCCAGAAGAUGGGACAGAAGAAGAGCAAGCCUUCUGAUCCCAUGGGUGGUGUGGGAACUCAGGUGAGGUACCCUCAGAUACCACCGGAUAGCCCUUUAGGAUUGAUGUUAAGUAAUUGGGAAAAUUACCCCUCUAGGCGGGGUAAGGACAAAGUAAAAAUGAUUUAUUAUUGUAUGGAAGGGUGGUAGAAGGAA